CAGUCGACGACUCUGGUAUUGAUUGGUGCUUGCAUCAUGAUUUACAUUUGAGUGAGUGGCGAACUGGUGAGUAACACGUGGGAAACCUGCCCAGAAGCGGGGGAUAACACCUGGAAACAGAUGCUAAUACCGCAUAACAACUUGGACCGCAUGGUCCGAGUUUGAAAGAUGGCUUCGGCUAUCACUUUUGGAUGGUCCCGCGGCGUAUUAGCUAGAUGGUGGGGUAACGGCUCACCAUGGCAAUGAUACGUAGCCGACCUGAGAGGGUAAUCGGCCACAUUGGGACUGAGACACGGCCCAAACUCCUACGGGAGGCAGCAGUAGGGAAUCUUCCACAAUGGACGAAAGUCUGAUGGAGCAACGCCGCGUGAGUGAAGAAGGGUUUCGGCUCGUAAAACUCUGUUGUUAAAGAAGAACAUAUCUGAGAGUAACUGUUCAGGUAUUGACGGUAUUUAACCAGAAAGCCACGGCUAACUACGUGCCAGCAGCCGCGGUAAUACGUAGGUGGCAAGCGUUGUCCGGAUUUAUUGGGCGUAAAGCGAGCGCAGGCGGUUUUUUAAGUCUGAUGUGAAAGCCUUCGGCUCAACCGAAGAAGUGCAUCGGAAACUGGGAAACUUGAGUGCAGAAGAGGACAGUGGAACUCCAUGUGUAGCGGUGAAAUGCGUAGAUAUAUGGAAGAACACCAGUGGCGAAGGCGGCUGUCUGGUCUGUAACUGACGCUGAGGCUCGAAAGUAUGGGUAGCAAACAGGAUUAGAUACCCUGGUAGUCCAUACCGUAAACGAUGAAUGCUAAGUGUUGGAGGGUUUCCGCCCUUCAGUGCUGCAGCUAACGCAUUAAGCAUUCCGCCUGGGGAGUACGGCCGCAAGGCUGAAACUCAAAGGAAUUGACGGGGGCCCGCACAAGCGGUGGAGCAUGUGGUUUAAUUCGAAGCUACGCGAAGAACCUUACCAGGUCUUGACAUACUAUGCAAAUCUAAGAGAUUAGACGUUCCCUUCGGGGACAUGGAUACAGGUGGUGCAUGGUUGUCGUCAGCUCGUGUCGUGAGAUGUUGGGUUAAGUCCCGCAACGAGCGCAACCCUUAUUAUCAGUUGCCAGCAUUAAGUUGGGCACUCUGGUGAGACUGCCGGUGACAAACCGGAGGAAGGUGGGGAUGACGUCAAAUCAUCAUGCCCCUUAUGACCUGGGCUACACACGUGCUACAAUGGAUGGUACAACGAGUUGCGAACUCGCGAGAGUAAGCUAAUCUCUUAAAGCCAUUCUCAGUUCGGAUUGUAGGCUGCAACUCGCCUACAUGAAGUCGGAAUCGCUAGUAAUCGCGGAUCAGCAUGCCGCGGUGAAUACGUUCCCGGGCCUUGUACACACCGCCCGUCACACCAUGAGAGU
rnacentral:rRNA from 1 species